rnacentral:snRNA from 1 species
UACUCCUAUUUCUUUUCAGAUCGUAUAAAUCUUUUGCCUUUCAUUAAAGAUUUUUGUGGAGAGGAACAAACGUGGGGUGGACGCAACU